AGAGCUCCACGGUUCCCUACGCGGUUAGCACAUGCGCGACGGCUCUGCUCCCUCUUCCUCCACUUCCACUACCUUAUACCGUCCGGGAAGCCGCCGCCACCGCCGCCGAGGAGUCAGGAAGUUCAAGAUGGCCGCCGCGGAGACUCUGUCGGUGCGGGAACAGCCAGAGAUGGAAGAUGCUGAUAAUUCCGAAAAGAGUGUAAAUGAAGAAAAUGGAGAAGUAUCAGAAGACCAGUCUCAAAAUAAGCACAGUCGUCACAAAAAAAAGAAGCAUAAACACAGAAGUAAACAUAAGAAACAUAAACAUUCCUCAGAAGAAGAUAAGGAUAAAAAACAUAAACAUAAGCAUAAACAUAAGAAACACAAAAGAAAAGAGAUUAUUGAUGCUUCUGACAAAGAAGGUAUGUCUCCAGCAAAAAGAACUAAACUUGAUGAUUUAGCUUUGCUGGAAGACUUGGAAAAACAGAGAGCCUUGAUUAAAGCUGAACUUGAUAAUGAGUUAAUGGAAGGAAAGGUCCAAUCUGGGAUGGGGCUCAUAUUGCAAGGCUAUGAGUCUGGCUCUGAAGAAGAGGGGGAGAUUCAUGAAAAAGCAAGAAAUGGAAAUAGGUCUAGUACCAGAUCAUCAAGUACAAAGGGGAAACUUGAACUAAUGGACAAUAAAAAUAGUACGAAAAAGCGAAGUAAAAGCAGAUCCAAAGAACGGACUAGACAUAGGAGUGAUAAAAAGAAAAGUAAGGGAGGUGUUGAAAUAGUUAAAGAGAAGACAACUAGGAGCAAGUCAAAGGAGAGGAAAAAGUCCAGAAGUCCAUCCAAGAGAAGUAAGUCUCAAGAUCAAGCAAGGAAAUCAAAAUCUCCUACCCUUAGAAGGCGAUCUCAAGAGAAAAUUGGGAAGGCCAGAUCUCCUACUGAUGACAAGGUUAAAAUUGAAGAUAAAAGUAGGUCAAAAGAUAGAAAAAAAUCCCCAAUUAUAAAUGAAAGUAGAAGUCGUGAUCGAGGCAAAAAAUCCAGAUCCCCAGUUGACUUAAGAGGUAAAUCCAAAGACAGAAGAUCACGGUCCAAAGAGAGAAAAUCAAAACGGUCUGACACGGAUAAAGAAAAGAAGCCAAUUAAAUCUCCCUCUAAAGAUGCUUCUUCUGGGAAAGAAAAUCGGUCACCCAGUAGAAGACCGGGUCGAAGUCCUAAAAGAAGAAGUUUGUCUCCAAAACAACGGGAUAAAUCAAGGAGAAGUAGAUCUCCACUUGUAAAUGACAGAAGGUCUAAACAAAGCAAAUCACCUUCCCGAACUCUGUCUCCUGGUAGAAGAGCCAAGAGCCGAUCCUUGGAAAGAAAACGAAGAGAACCAGAAAGGAGACGACUUUCUUCUCCAAGAACACGACCUCGAGAUGAUAUCCUCAGUAGACGUGAAAGAUCAAAAGAUGCCAGCCCGAUCAAUAGGUGGUCUCCAACCCGAAGAAGAGCAAGUAGAUCUCCCAUCAGAAGACGGUCUCGUUCCCCACUCAGACGUAGUAGGUCACCCAGGAGAAGAAGCAGGUCUCCUCGGAGGAGGGACAGAGGUCGGAGGAGCCGGUCACGCUUGAGAAGGCGGUCUCGAUCACGGGGUGGUCGUAGACGUAGAAGCAGAAGCAAAAUAAAGGAAGAUAAAUUUAAAGGAAGUCUUUCUGAAGGAAUGAAAGUUGAACAAGAAUCUUCAUCUGAUGAUAACCUUGAAGACUUUGAUGUAGAGGAAGAAGAUGAAGAAGCCCUAAUAGAACAGAGAAGAAUACAGAGGCAGGCAAUUGUUCAGAAAUACAAAUAUCUUGCUGAAGAUAGCAAUAUGUCUGUGCCAUCUGAACCAAGCAGCCCUCAGAGCAGUAUCUGUACACGGUCACCUUCUCCGGAUGACAUUCUGGAAAGGGUAGCUGCUGAUGUGAAAGAGUAUGAACGGGAAAACGUUGAUACAUUUGAGGCCUCAGUAAAAGCCAAGCAUAAUCUAAUGACUGUUGAACAGAAUAAUGGUUCAUCUCAGAAAAAGCUCUUGGCACCUGAUAUGUUUACCGAAUCUGAUGAUAUGUUUGCUGCCUACUUUGAUAGUGCUCGUCUUCGGGCUGCUGGCAUUGGAAAAGAUUUCAAAGAGAAUCCCAACCUCAGGGAUAACUGGACAGAUGCAGAAGGCUAUUACCGUGUGAACAUAGGUGAAGUCCUAGAUAAGCGUUACAAUGUAUAUGGCUACACUGGCCAGGGUGUCUUCAGUAAUGUCGUACGAGCCAGAGAUAAUGCAAGAGCCAACCAAGAAGUGGCAGUAAAAAUCAUCAGAAACAAUGAGCUCAUGCAAAAAACUGGCUUAAAAGAACUAGAAUUCCUGAAAAAACUUAAUGAUGCUGAUCCUGAUGACAAAUUUCAUUGUUUGCGACUCUUCAGACACUUUUAUCACAAACAGCAUCUCUGUCUCGUAUUUGAGCCUCUAAGUAUGAAUUUACGAGAGGUGUUAAAAAAAUAUGGUAAGGAUGUUGGUCUUCAUAUUAAAGCUGUAAGAUCCUACAGUCAGCAGUUGUUCUUGGCAUUAAAACUCCUUAAAAGAUGCAAUAUCCUACAUGCAGAUAUCAAGCCAGACAAUAUCCUGGUUAAUGAAUCAAAAACUAUUUUAAAGCUCUGCGAUUUUGGGUCGGCUUCACAUGUUGCGGAUAAUGACAUAACACCUUAUCUUGUCAGUAGAUUUUAUCGUGCUCCUGAAAUCAUUAUAGGUAAAAGCUAUGAUUAUGGUAUAGAUAUGUGGUCUGUAGGUUGUACCUUAUAUGAACUCUACACUGGAAAAAUUUUAUUUCCUGGCAAAACCAAUAACCAUAUGUUGAAGCUCGCCAUGGAUCUCAAAGGAAAGAUGCCAAAUAAGAUGAUUCGGAAAGGUGUAUUCAAAGACCAACAUUUUGAUCAAAACCUCAACUUCAUGUAUAUAGAAGUUGAUAAAGUAACAGAGAGGGAGAAAGUUACUGUCAUGAGCACCAUUAAUCCAACCAAGGACCUGUUGGCUGACUUGAUUGGGUGCCAGCGACUUCCUGAAGACCAACGUAAAAAAGUACACCAGCUAAAGGACUUGUUGGACCAGAUCCUAAUGUUGGACCCCGCUAAACGAAUUAGCAUCAACCAGGCCCUACAGCAUGCCUUCAUCCAGGAAAAAAUUUAAACGAGAUGAAAGAAGCUCCAAGGGUUUGAGUAAUUAAAUACAAAGACUGAAGAAAUUUCACAGCAGUUUAUUAAUGUAUAUAAACUUAUAAAUAUUUCUCCAGCAAAUUUGAGGAAGCAUGAUAUAUUUGAAUUAACACCAAGGGUGAUAUUUCUUUUAGAAAUGUUAGUUAAUCUGUUUUGUGUCUUAUGUGAAAUUUCACUGUAGAACUGUUUUAAUUGCCAAGACUGCACAAAAUUACAGUGCUAAUGUAUAUGGUUGCAGUUCACAUAAAAGACAAAAGCAUCUGUUAUAAAAUGAGUAGUAAUACUGGGUGGUUGAUUUAUUUUUAGCAAACUUGGCUUCAUAUUGGUCUUCAGAUAAAAUGGCCAGCAUAAAUGCUGUUUAUAUUCACGUUUUCCUAGGUGUGUGUGUGCAGGCCACAGCAGCAUGCCCUUGGUGUAGUCAGUGCCGAAAGGGGUCUGUUCCUUCUUGAGCCUGCCUGCAGGGAUGGUCUCCUCUUUUAAAGCAGGUUGUGUACAACAUUCAGUACACUGAAGGUAAGCUAAACCAUCAACAUCACUGGUGUUUUAAGAUGUUAUUUUACUGGAACAGUUGACAAAUGAGGGAUAUUAGCUUUGUGGCGGAAUUCCCUGCAUGUGUGGUAACUGAUCUUGUUUUAUUUUUUGGCAUUGCAACUGUGGCAUAGUUACAGUUUCUGUUCUGUUCAUCACAUUUAAAAUUGGAAGAGUACGCGCUUGAUGGAUAGAGCGCCUUCAGUGUACUGUUUCUUAUUAACUUUAAUUUUUUUAAAUCAACUUGCUAUAGACUUUAUAUACAUUUUGUUAAAUACAGUUCGUAGUGACGUAGAAACAAGGCAUAGUUUUCCUUUACUAAUUACACAUGUUGAGGCCUAAUUCUGAAAGUCCUCAUAUUUAAAAGUUAGACAACAUAAUGAAAUUUUUAACUAUUUGUAUGUCAUUUUGAAAAUGUACUGCUUUAUGGUAAAAGUGUUUUUCAUUUGUUCAUUGUUUUCAUUAUUUGUGAUCAUGUUGUCUUUCAAUACAGGCAUAAACCUUCCACUCUUGAACAAAGCAGCUGCUUUUUAAAAGCGGUAAUUGCUUCUUUACCUUUUAUUUCUUUUGUAAAUGAAGCUUUUCUUUAAGAAUGUGACUUUAAAGUGUUGUCUAUUGCAUAAAACAGUUGACACUCACUUAUUGUAAAGUGAAGAUUGUUCUCCUGCAUGUGAAGUGGACCAUGCAGAUUUCUGUAUGUUCUCAGUAUGCAUCACUAGAUAAUAAAGUCUUUUGUGAACAAGGCAUUUGUAGCCAUUUUUAAAAGUUUUUGUCUUCAGUGCUGGUAAGUCAGGUAAACCAUACAUAGUUAAAAAGCAAUCUUUCAUUUCUUCCUUUAAGUCUUUAAAAGAUUUAUUUGUUAAAGAUGUAAGCUUAGCCACAAGUUGAUCAUUUUAUUAAUAAUCAGGAUCCUAACUAUUUCAUCAAAAAAAAAAAAAAUCCUACAGAUAUUGUCAGCUUUCAGUGUAGUGAGAUAAUUCCUGUAGGUUACAGGGUGUAAUUCAAGAUUUAACUAAUGUUUCUGCUAUUUUCUCACUUUUCCUUUUGAUGGUGCGGAAAGAGAAAAGGAAAACGGGGCACAGGCCACUCACCGCCUUCUCCAAGGGGUCUGAUUUGCUGAGACACCAGCUUCACCUUCUUAACAAGGCACCUAAUUACAACAAGCAUGCACAUUUUGGUGCAUUCAAGAAUGGAAAAUCAGAAUAGCAGCAUUCUUCUGGUGGGUUUUGCUCCAUUUAAAGACAUGAAAUGAACUACAGCCAGGAAGGUGAUAGAUGAUAUAAUAAGCCAACUUUGAAUCUACACCCCGUCUCUUCAUGGUUUAGACUUACUAAAAAUAAAUAAAAGGUGGUUUCCAUCUUCAGGUAGAGUGAAGCCUUUUAAAUAAGGCAUCACAGGUGCAGCUGUCUACCUUACCAAAAUGGGUAGUGAUUUUCCCACCAUGACUUACUUUAUUUUGGUGAUAAUAUGCUGCAUAUUCAAGUCUUUGGUAGUUAUUUUCACUCGAAAUAGUUACAUUUUGAUGCUUCUGGUGAUUUUCAUGACUUCAUUUUAUAUAAUUAUUUAAUAAGUAAGUUAACUUCCACUAGAAACAGUUCAUCUUAUGCCUUCAAAACUGUUACGUAUUCUUUAAAAAACAAAGUUGCUUGUUACUUGUUCUUUGUGUUUUAGGUGCAGUUCAGUGGAAGAUGAUGACAGCCAGAAGACAUGAGCUAAGGUUUCUGUCCUAUAAAAGAUUUAAAAAAAAAAAGAAAAAGAAAAAAAAAAGAGUUCUCCAUUUAAUUUUUGUCUAAUUUUUUAGUUUUCAGCAUUAUGAUUUGGGUUUCCUUAAUGUUUGGCACUUAGAAUAGUAGUGCUGUUGUGGUGUACAUCUGUAAAGUGCUUGUUUUAUCAUGCUUCCUGCCUCCUUCCCCUCCCCCCCCAAUAAAAACAGUAGUCAAAUUUAGUGACUCUUUAUGAAAGAGUCUUGAAUGGUGAGAUUCCACAUAACACAUGGCCAUCAAAAUUGGUUCCUAGGGGUUAUUAGAAAAAUAGAAACCACCAAAAUCACAUAUAUCAAAAAGUAGUCUUUAGCUUUAGGUAUCUUAUCUCCUUGGCAGAUGCAAAAGAAUAGAAAGUGGAACUUUAAGACCACUGUUACUCAACUCCUUUAAUACUCUAGUCCCCAACUUUCCCUUUUAGUAACUGUUUUUGCAAGUGCUCCAGUCAUGGUCUUAAGAUAGACAAAAUAUUUAGAACCACUGUCCGUUUUUCUUCUUAAGUGAGAGAAGUAGAUCUUUGUUCCCAGAUUUAGCAUUCCUAGAUUUGUCUAUUCUAAAAACCCAUAAACAUUCUUUAUGUACAUAUACAUGAUUUUAUUAGAAUUAAUAAGUUUGCUGAGGCAGAGAUUUGGAACUUUGUAAGACCUCUGUUAGAUGAUGGUCAUAAUUUAGUGAAUUAUCUUUAGCCUGCAUUCAUAUUUCAGAGUAGCUGUAUAGUUUUCAAAUAAGUUAAUCUCUGAUGAAGCAUUUGUUUUAUUAUACUUAACAGCAAAAAUAUCCCGUGAUUGUCAGAUGUCAGGGUUCCUAAGUCGUAGGAUCUAACCCUCAAAAAGAUCAUAGUUUUUUCUGUAGUCAGGGGGCAGGUGAGAUCCAGAAUGCAGAUACACUGUAGACCCUGUUCUCUAUGUGAACAGGGUCAUGGUUUUCAUUUCAUUUCAUUUCAUUUCAACAGGGUCAUUAUUUUCAAAGUCAUGGUUUAGAGUAUCGAGGUUGGAGUAUCAGGUUGGACUAUCGAGGUUUUGAAGGAAGGGAACAUCUUAAUUUUAAAGACCUUCCCAGUAUUCCCAUUCACCCCUUAGUCCUUAUUAGUUGCAUCCUGUUUAUUCCCCAAUGUAUAACUCAUUCCACUCUACUACUUUCAAAAUAAGUUUGUUUUUAAGAUACUGUAAUUUUUUUCCCAUUACAAUAACCACGUUUUUUCUCCAAAACAAAUACUCAGGACAUGUCUACAAUACAAAAAAAUGUAUGUUUUAUGGUAUGUGGUAGAGGCAGAGAAACGUGUAAUGUUCUCAGAUCUGUUGCAUAUUUGCAUUCCUCCUACUAUGCUUUACCUGUUCUUUAUCAUUUUGUAACGCUAGCUGGGUAGAUAGAAAUAAAUCUCUGGAGUGAAACAGAGGAAUCACAUAUCUUCAAAUUUAGGCCAAGUAGUUAAAGAAUGCCCUUUUAAAUGUUGGAGAUAACUCAAGUAAUUUCCUUUCAUUAGUUAUAAUGACAUUAGAAAUUGGGCUUCAUAAAAAGUGUUUCUUUCCUUGUAGUAUCGUAGUUCAAGCAUAUAUUCAACAUGAGUUUAUCAUCCUCCUAGAUGGAAUAUCUUCCUUAUGGAAAUGUUCACUACAAAUUCAUUUGUGUGUUUUUACAUGUCAAUAGUGUACACUAAAUUGACUUUUAAAAUGUUUUCCAGUUAUUUGAUAGAUAUCAUCAUGGCAUCCUUAAUUUUUUUUUCUCCUUCUGUAUGUAGGGUAAGGGACUAUUCUUCUGAAGAAUCUUUCCAUUUAGUGAUCAAGAUAUGGAAGCUGGUCUCUGAAAAUACUCAAUAUGUAUCCCAGUAACUCGUGGUAUCAUUUGAAUUGUAACUUGCAUUUUAGAAGCAAUGUUUCCAAUUAUUGGGAAAACUUAAUAAAAUAUGCCUCUUG